GAUGAACGCUGGCGGCGUGCCUAAUACAUGCAAGUCGAGCGAACGGACGAGAAGCUUGCUUCUCUGAUGUUAGCGGCGGACGGGUGAGUAACACGUGGAUAACCUACCUAUAAGACUGGGAUAACUUCGGGAAACCGUAGCUAAUACCGGAUAAUAUUUUGAACCGCAUGGUUCAAAAGUGAAAGACGGUCUUGCUGUCACUUAUAGAUGGAUCCGCGCUGCAUUAGCUAGUUGGUAAGGUAACGGCUUACCAAGGCAACGAUGCAUAGCCGACCUGAGAGGGUGAUCGGCCACACUGGAGCUGAGACACGGUCCAGACUCCUACGGGAGGCAGCAGUAGGGAAUCUUCCGCAAUGGGCGAAAGCCUGACGGAGCAACGCCGCGUGAGUGAUGAAGGUCUUCGGAUCGUAAAACUCUGUUAUUAGGGAAGAACAUAUGUGUAAGUAACUGUGCACAUCUUGACGGUACCUAAUCAGAAAGCCACGGCUAACUACGUG
rnacentral:rRNA from 1 species